UGCUGAGGAGUCCCACAAUAGGACGAAACGGCCGUCCAGUGC
rnacentral:hammerhead_ribozyme from 2 species